UUCUAAGGGCGUUGAAGCAUGAUCGCAAGGACAUGUGGAGCGCUUAGAAGUGAGAAUGCCGGUGUGAGUAGCGAAAGACGGGUGAGAAUCCCGUCCACCGAUUGACUAAGGUUUCCAGAGGAAGGCUCGUCCGCUCUGGGUUAGUCGGGUCCUAAGCUGAGGCCGACAGGCGUAGGCGAUGGAUAACAGGUUGAUAUUCCUGUACCACCAUUAUUCGUUUUAAGCGAUGGGGGGACGCAGUAGGAUAGGCGAAGCGUGCUGUUGGAGUGCACGUCCAAGCAGUGAGAUUGAGUGUUAGGCAAAUCCGGCACUCUUAAGAUUGAGCUGUGAUGGGGAGAGGAACUUGUUCCUCGAGUCGUUGAUUUCACACUGCCGAGAAAAGCCUCUAGCUAGAAUAACGGUGCCCGUACCGCAAACCGACACAGGUAGUCAAGAUGAGAAUUCUAAGGUGAGCGAGCGAACUCUCGUUAAGGAACUCGGCAAAAUGACCCCGUAACUUCGGGAGAAGGGGUGCUCUUUGAGGUUCACGCUUCGAAGAGCCGCAGUGAAUAGGCCCAAGCGACUGUUUAUCAAAAACACAGGUCUCUGCUAAACCGUAAGGUGACGUAUAGGGGCUGACGCCUGCCCGGUGCUGGAAGGUUAAGAGGAGUGGUUAGCGCAAGCGAAGCUACGAAUCGAAGCCCCAGUAAACGGCGGCCGUAACUAUAACGGUCCUAAGGUAGCGAAAUUCCUUGUCGGGUAAGUUCCGACCCGCACGAAAGGCGUAACGAUUUGGGCACUGUCUCAACGAGAGACUCGGUGAAAUCAUAGUACCGGUGAAGAUGCCGGUUACCCGCGACAGGACGGAAAGACCCCGUGGAGCUUUACUGUAGCCUGAUAUUGAAAUUCGGUACAGUUUGUACAGGAUAGGUAGGAGCCUUAGAAGCGUGAGCGCUAGCUUACGUGGAGGCAUUGGUGGGAUACUACCCUAAUUGUAUUGGAUUUCUAACCCGCAGCACUUAUCGUGCUGGGAGACAGUGUCAGGCGGGCAGUUUGACUGGGGCGGUCGCCUCCUAAAGAGUAACGGAGGCGCUCAAAGGUUCCCUCAGAAUGGUUGGAAAUCAUUCAUAGAGUGUAAAGGCAUAAGGGAGCUUGACUGCGAGACCUACAAGUCGAGCAGGGUCGAAAGACGGACUUAGUGAUCCGGUGGUUCCGCAUGGAAGGGCCAUCGCUCAACGGAUAAAAGCUACCCCGGGGAUAACAGGCUUAUCUCCCCCAAGAGUUCACAUCGACGGGGAGGUUUGGCACCUCGAUGUCGGCUCAUCGCAUCCUGGGGCUGUAGUCGGUCCCAAGGGUUGGGCUGUUCGCCCAUUAAAGCGGUACGCGAGCUGGGUUCAGAACGUCGUGAGACAGUUCGGUCCCUAUCCGUCGUGGGCGUAGGAAAUUUGAGAGGAGCUGUCCUUAGUACGAGAGGACCGGGAUGGACAUACCUCUGGUGUACCAGUUGUCGUGCCAACGGCAUAGCUGGGUAGCUAUGUAUGGACGGGAUAAGUGCUGAAAGCAUCUAAGCAUGAAGCCCCCCUCGAGAUGAGAUUUCCCAACUUCGGUUAUAAGAUCCCUCAAAGAUGAUGAGGUGAAUAGGUUCGAGGUGGAAGCGUAGCGAUACGUGGAGCUGACGAAUACUA
rnacentral:rRNA from 1 species